UACGUAGGGGGCGAGCGUUGUCCGAAGUUACUGGGCGUAAAGCGCGCGUAGGCGGGGGGUUAAGUGAGAGGUGAAAGGCUGGGGCUCAACCCCAUGCAGUGCCUCUCAUACUGGCCUUCUUGAGGGCGGUAGGGAGAAGUGGAAUGGCUGGUGUAGCGGUGAAAUGCGUAGAUAUCAGUCGGAACACCGGUGGCGAAGGCGGCUUCUUGGGCCGUUCCUGACGCUGAGGCGCGAAAGCCAGGGGAGCGAACGGG
rnacentral:rRNA from 1 species